GAUGAACGCUGGCGGCGUGCUUAACACAUGCAAGUCGAACGAAGAUGCCGGAGUGCUUGCACUUUGGCAGACUGAGUGGCGGACGGGUGAGUAACGCGUGGGUAACCUGCCUUAUACAGGGGGAUAACAGUUGGAAACGACUGCUAAUACCGCAUAAGCGCACGGUAUCGCAUGAUACAGUGUGAAAAACUCCGGUGGUAUAAGAUGGACCCGCGUCUGAUUAGCUUGUUGGUGAGGUUAAACGGGCCCCACCAAGGCGACGAUCAGUAGCCGACCUGAGAGGGUGACCGGCCACAUUGGGACUGAGACACGGCCCAAACUCCUACGGGAGGCAGCAGUGGGGAAUAUUGCACAAUGGGGGAAACCCUGAUGCAGCGACGCCGCGUGAGCGAAGAAGUAUUUCGGUAUGUAAAGCUCUAUCAGCAGGGAAGAAAAAAAUGACGGUACCUGACUAAGAAGCCCCGGCUAACUACGUG
rnacentral:rRNA from 1 species